rnacentral:rRNA from 1 species
UACGUAGGGUGCAAGCGUUAUCCGGAAUUAUUGGGCGUAAAGAGCUCGUAGGCGGUUUGUCGCGUCUGCUGUGAAAACCGGAGGCUCAACCUCCGGCCUGCAGUGGGUACGGGCAAACUAGAGUGUGGUAGGGGAGACUGGAAUUCCUGGUGUAGCGGUGAAAUGCGCAGAUAUCAGGAGGAACACCGAUGGCGAAGGCAGGUCUCUGGGCCACUACUGACGCUGAGAAGCGAAAGCAUGGGGAGCGAACAGG